CACACACACACACACUCACACAGAUGUCUUGGGAUGAGUGCAGCUGCUCAGAGCCCGCAACCCAGCAGCACCUGGACACUGUUGCUGGGACAAAGGACUUCCAUGGUGCCAAAAUGGAACUGUCCCCAGGGCCGCCCUGCUAGGUGAGUGCUUACUGCCAGCACAGCCGCUUCUCCCUGCUGCGUCCCAACCACAGCUGACUGCGCGGACCUCGCCUCUUCAGGGAAGGCCAGCGGCUCCAGGCCUCCUCGUGGCUCACACUGGCUGCCCUGUGACCUACAGCCACUAAGAAUCAGCCUCUGCAUGGUCACGUGCCCGGGCCUGUCCACAGUAGACUCUCAGGAAAUGCUUUUAAACAUUGCAAUCCCUUUAAGCACACCACACCCCUAUACGCCCAUCACAGGGGAACACAGACUUCCCAAGUUCUCUGCACUUCACCC
rnacentral:lncRNA from 1 species